AUUGAACGCUGGCGGCAGGCUUAACACAUGCAAGUCGAGCGAGCGGCGGACGGGUGAGUAAUGUCUGGGAAACUGCCUGAUGGAGGGGGAUAACUACUGGAAACGGUAGCUAAUACCGCAUACCAUCAGAUGUGCCCAGAUGGGAUUUGCUAGUAGGUGGGGUAAUGGCUCACCUAGUCGACGAUCCCUAGCUGGUCUGAGAGGAUGACAAUCAACAUUGGAACUGAGACACGGUCCAGACGCCGAGGGGAGGCAGCAGUGGGGAAUAUGGCACAAUGGGCGCAAUCCUGAUGCAGCCAUGCCGCGGGUGUGAAGAAGGCCUUCGGGUUGUAAAGCACUUUCAGCGAGGAGGCGUUACUCGCAGAAGAAGCACCGGCUAACUCCGUGCCAGCAGCCGCGGUAAUAC
rnacentral:rRNA from 1 species